rnacentral:rRNA from 1 species
AUGGGUUCCCUAUUCUCUUCCCCUGCCGGCGGCGACUCUCUCCCAGUCUCAAAAAAGUACAUUGGCCGCUCUAUUAGGUCAAAAGAACAGGACGUCGCCCUCCGAAUUUCUACGCUUGUCGACAUCGCCAUCGAACAUUACAACUCCAACAAUCCAGGUGCCGAGUUCGAGUAUCCUGAGUAUCCUCCCCAGUCGACCACGGAGAUGAAGGCUGCCUGCAUUGGUUUUAGGGGAACUUUCUGGUACCACCUCUGCUUUUCGGCUCACCCCAUGGAUGCCACCGCCGAGACGCAACACUUUUUCGCUGAGCUAUAUUUUGAUAAACAGUACCUCGAACUAGCCGUUGAAACAUGCAUCAUCUUAGAAAAGCCGUUGUGCCGCUUUAGCAGCUCGUGUGCAUUUUGUCCAGACGAAUCCAAUAUCUUGCACCCAAGUGAUGAAGAAUUUGUCUGUGGAAAGCAAGAUCACAAAAAAGAAUUCUUCCGCAGGAGAGAUAUGCUAGUGCGGCCAUACAGUUCUUUUAUGACACCUCCUGAUAUAGAUAACACCGUCAUAGACAUAGAUAGCACCGAAGAUCCAUGA